AGGUGAUGUAAUUGUCAACCUUGAAUCCACUCUUUGACCCCUCCCUGCCUAACCAGCCCAACUCAGAGUCUGGCACAAGGGGAUGCACACAGAAGUCCUGAAAUAAAUGUUAGUUGAAUGAACGCAGGGAUGGAUGAGCGAAUGAAAAAUCCUUUCCGAUGUGUCUUCAGAUUUGAAAAGCCAUGUGACCUCGUGCAGUUCAUGAAUGCCACGUGGGAAUUACACGACCUUCAAGCUCUUCUCAUUGAUCUUGGCAGAAACCUUACACCUGACAGGAUAUAUAUUUUGCAACUGUGGCUUUUUGUCAUUAGGGUAAAGACGCGGGUGGAAGAGUCUCUGCUUUGAUGAUCCCUGUCCCUGAACGACGUGCUGCACAGCAAGGUGGUUAAGACUCAGAGGUCAGUCUCCAAGGAGGCAGGGGCCGUCUCUCCUGUGGCUCAGAGCCGUUCACAGCUGACUACCAGAAUAACCUGGGACUGUCUCCAAAAACGGUCACUCUGGAGCACAGC